rnacentral:rRNA from 1 species
GCUGCAACUCGCCUGCAUGAAGUCGGAAUUGCUAGUAAUCGCAGAUCAGCAUGCUGCGGUGAAUACGUUCCCGGGCCUUGUACACACCGCCCGUCACACCAUGGGAGUCGGUAACACCCGAAGUCGGUAGCCUAACCGUAAGGAGGGCGCCGCCGAAGGCAGGUCGGAUGACUGGGGUGAAGUCGUAACAAGGUAAC